GAUUAGCUCAGCUGGGAGAGCACUCCUACGAAGACGGGGUCGGCGGUUCGAUCCCGUCAUCACCCACCA
rnacentral:tRNA from 1 species